rnacentral:tRNA from 1 species
GGGCUGUUAGCUCAGUCGGUAGAGCAGCGGACUUUUAAUCCGUUGGUCGAAGGUUCGAAUCCUUCACAGCCCACCA